GCGGGAGUAGCUCAGUUGGUAGAGCGUUGCCUUCCCAAGGCAAAUGUCGCGAGUUCGACCCUCGUCUCCCGCUCCA
rnacentral:tRNA from 1 species